rnacentral:lncRNA from 1 species
AAAAUAUAGACAUGCAAGGUCUCAAAAUUUUAUCGCCACAGAUACUUUCUUUAAAACCUACCAAAGAAUGUGCUCCACCAAAAUGAGUUAGUAGACAAAAACAGCUCAACACACCAAAGGCCCAAUAGAGCUAGGCACUAGAGAGCAGGUCUGAGCAUCAUUCAACUGACAGGUGCAGGACUGCCUUCAAGACCCGGGUUAAAACUGUGCUCAGUCAUAUACAGGCUAGUCUUCACCAUAUAUAAUACCCAUGGUAAAGUUUUCCAACCCAUAUUCACUUCACAUACAAGUAGAUAUUUUUAUCAACCCACGUAAGUAUUCUGUUU